rnacentral:rRNA from 1 species
GGGUCAGUAGGUUGGUCGUGCCACCGGUACGUACUGGUCUCACUGAUUCCUCCUUCCUGAGGAACCGUAAUGCCAUUAAUUUGGUGUUGCGGGGAAACAGGACGGUUACUUUGAAAAAAUUAGAGUGUUUAAAGCAAGCUAACGCUUGAAUACAUUAGCAUGGAAUAAUGAAAUAGGACGAUCGAUCCUAUUUUGUUGGUUUCUAGGAUUGACGUA